GGGUCGCUAGCUCAAUGGUAGAGCAAUUCCCUCUUAAGGAAUAGGUUCCGGGUCCGAGUCCCGGGCGGCUCA
rnacentral:tRNA from 1 species